GCAUAUCAAUAAGCGGAGGAAAAGAAACCAACAGGGAUUGCCCCAGUAACGGCGAGUGAAGCGGCAACAGCUCAAAUUUGAAAUCUGGCCUUCGGGUCCGAGUUGUAAUUUGGAGAGGAUGCUUCUGGCGCGGCGCCGUCCGAGUUCCUUGGAACAGGACGCCAUAGAGGGUGAGAGCCCCGUACGGGCGGCCGCCUAGCCUUUGUGAAGCUCCUUCGACGAGUCGAGUAGUUUGGGAAUGCUGCUCAAAAUGGGAGGUAAAUUUCUUCUAAAGCUAAAUACCGGCCAGAGACCGAUAGCGCACAAGUAGAGUGAUCGAAAGAUGAAAAGCACUUUGAAAAGAGGGUUAAAAAGUACGUGAAAUUGUUGAAAGGGAAGCGCCUGUGACCAGACUUGCGGCCCGCGGAUCAUCCGGUGUUCUUCACCGGUGCACUCCGCGGGCUGCAGGCCAGCAUCGGUUUUCCUAGGGGGACAAAGGUCGCGGGAACGUAGCUCUUUCGGGAGUGUUAUAGCCCGUGGCGUCAUGCCUCUGGGGGGACCGAGGACCGCGCUUCGGCAAGGAUGCUGGCGUAAUGGUCACCGGCGACCCGUCUUGAAACACGGACCAAGGAGUCAAGCAUUGGGGCGAGUGUCUGGGUGCCAAACCCGCACGCGAAAUGAAAGUAAACGCAGGUGAGAGCUUCGGCGCAUCACCGACCGAUCCUGAUGUCUUCGGAUGGAUUUGAGUAAGAGCCUUACCGCUUGGACCCGAAAGAUGGUGAACUAUGCCUGUAUAGGGUGAAGCCAGAGGAAACUCUGGUGGAGGCUCGCAGCGGUUCUGACGUGCAAAUCGAUCGUCAAAUAUGGGCAUGGGGGCGAAAGACUAAUCGAACCAUCUAGUAGCUGGUUACCGCCGAA
rnacentral:rRNA from 1 species